UCCUUGAUAGCCCCGCCGGCGGCCGCCGAGGUCGGCGCUCUCGCCUCGUCUCCUCCCCCGGCUGGGGACCCUCUCCUCUCCCCUCCCUUGCCCCCUCCUCUCGCCGCCGCCUCCUCCUCCUUGUCCGAGCGGCUAGCUGCGAGGAGGCGUAACGGAAAGCCCCGGCGUGGGGAAGGCUGCGAGCUCGGAGCCGGAGACGCGGAGCCGGGGUCGGGUCGGCGGGGAAGCAGACUCUUGAAUUCACAGCUGGCUUAUGAUUUUGCCUCUUGUUACAGAGCACUCACACAGGUAAAGACCUGCUCGCGCUCAGGUGGGAUGUAGGCAAACUCUGGUCCUGAUGAUGUGCUCUGAUAACCACCCAGAGUUCUCAUUCAUUAAAAAGAAAAUCCUCUAUGUAGGGUGACAUUUCCUGUAAGAAAGGUGUGGUCCUGUAAGAAAAGUGGUCCCCUGCCCCUGUGGGGAAUUGCAGGGCGAAGGUGUUUACUUGGCUGGCUUUCUCCUGGGCAUUGCUGGCCUUCUCAUUACCAACAUUUUUUACUUUGAGCAGGG
rnacentral:lncRNA from 1 species